rnacentral:rRNA from 1 species
GAACGCUGGCGGCGAUGCCUUACACAUGCAAGUCGAACGGCAGCACGGGAGCAAUCCUGGGUGGCGAGUGGCGAACGGGUGAGUAAUAUAUCGGGAACGUGCCCGGUCGUGGGGGAUAACGUAGCGAAAGCUACGCUAAUACCGCAUACGAUCUACGGAUGAAAGCGGGGGAUCGCAAGACCUCGCGCGAUUGGAGCGGCCGAUAUCAGAUUAGGUAGUCGGUGAGGUAAAGGCUCACCAAGCCGACGAUCUGUAGCUGGUCUGAGAGGACGGACCAGCCACACUGGGACUGAGACACGGCCCAGACUCCUACGGGAGGCAGCAGUGGGGAAUUUUGGACAAUGGGCGCAAGCCUGAUCCAGCAAUGCCGCGUGCAGGAUGAAGGCCUUCGGGUUGUAAACUGCUUUGUACGGAACGAAACGGUGAGCUCUAAUACAGUUUGCUAAUGACGGUACCGUAAGAAUAAGCACCGGCUAACUACGUG